UACAGAGGUGGCAAGCGUUGUUCGGAAUUACUGGGCGUAAAGGGCGCGUAGGCGGUUCGGUAAGUCCCGUGUGAAAUCCCUCGGCUCAACUGAGGAACUGCACGGGAGACUGCCGGGCUUGAGUUCGGGAGAGGGAAGCGGAAUUCCGGGUGUAGCGGUGAAAUGCGUAGAUAUCCGGAGGAACACCGGUGGCGAAGGCGGUUUCCUGGACCGACACUGACGCUGAGGCGCGAAAAGCUAGGGGAGCAAACGGG
rnacentral:rRNA from 1 species